rnacentral:rRNA from 1 species
AGUUAACGUUGGCGGCGUGCCUAACACAUGCAAGUCGAACGCGUCCUAAGGGCAACUUUAGGAUGAGUGGCGAACGGGUGAGUAUCACGUGGGUAAUCUUCCUUCAAGUGGGGAAUAAGCUCUCGAAAGGGAGUCUAAUACCGCAUGACAUUCCGGGACACAAGUCCCGUAAUCAAAGCCGCAAGGCGCUUGAAGAUGAGCCUGCGUCCUAUUAGCUAGUUGGUGGGGUAACGGCCUACCAAGGCUUAGAUGGUAGCCGGCCUGAGAGGGUGAACGGCCACACUGGAACUGAGACACGGUCCAGACUCCUACGGGAGGCAGCAGUGGGGAAUAUUGCACAAUGGGCGAAAGCCUGAUGCAGCAACGCCGCGUGAGCGAUGAAGGUCUUCGGGUCGUAAAGCUCUGUCCUCAAGGAAGAUAAUGACGGUACUUGAGGAGGAGCCCCGGACUAACUACGUGACCAGCAGCCGACGGUAAAAGUCACGUACG